CAAGUCGAACGAUGAACCACUUCGGUGGGGAUUAGUGGCGAACGGGUGAGUAACACGUGGGCAAUCUGCCCUGCACUCUGGGACAAGCCCUGGAAACGGGGUCUAAUACCGGAUACUGACCUCGCAGGCAUCUGCGAGGUUCGAAAGCUCCGGCGGUGCAGGAUGAGCCCGCGGCCUAUCAGCUAGUUGGUGAGGUAACGGCUCACCAAGGCGACGACGGGUAGCCGGCCUGAGAGGGCGACCGGCCACACUGGGACUGAGACACGGCCCAGACUCCUACGGGAGGCAGCAGUGGGGAAUAUUGCACAAUGGGCGAAAGCCUGAUGCAGCGACGCCGCGUGAGGGAUGACGGCCUUCGGUAUUGCACAAUGGGCGAAAGCCUGAUGCAGCGACGCCGCGUGAGGGAUGACGGCCUUCGGGUUGUAAACCUCUUUCAGCAGGGAAGAAGCGAAAGUGACGGUACCUGCAGAAGAAGCGCCGGCUAACUACGUGCCAGCAGCCGCGGUAAUACGUAGGGCGCAAGCGUUGUCCGGAAUUAUUGGGCGUAAAGAGCUCGUAGGCGGCUUGUCACGUCGGUUGUGAAAGCCCGGGGCUUAACCCCGGGUCUGCAGUCGAUACGGGCAGGCUAGAGUUCGGUAGGGGAGAUCGGAAUUCCUGGUGUAGCGGUGAAAUGCGCAGAUAUCAGGAGGAACACCGGUGGCGAAGGCGGAUCUCUGGGCCGAUACUGACGCUGAGGAGCGAAAGCGUGGGGAGCGAACAGGAUUAGAUACCCUGGUAGUCCACGCCGUAAACGGUGGGCACUAGGUGUGGGCAACAUUCCACGUUGUCCGUGCCGCAGCUAACGCAUUAAGUGCCCGCCUGGGGAGUACGGCCGCAAGGCUAAAACUCAAGGAAUUGACGGGGGCCCGCACAAGCGGCGGAGCAUGUGGCUUAAUUCGACGCAACGCGAGACCUUACCAAGGCUUGACAUACACCGGAAACCCUGGAGACAGGUCCCCCUUGGUGGUCGGUGUACAGGUGUGCAUGGCUGUCGUCAGCUCGUGUCGUGAGAUGUUGGGUAGUCCCGCACGAGCGCACCCUGUCCCGUGUGCAGCAGCCUGUGGGUGCUGGGGACUCACGGGAGACCGCAGGUCACUCGAGAAAGAUGACACGUCAGUAUCAUGCCCUUUGUCUUGGGGUGGCCACGUGCUCAUGGCGUCAUGAGCUGGAUACCCGAGGUGGAGCGACCCAAACCGGCUCAAUUCGAUUGGGUCGCAACUGACC
rnacentral:rRNA from 1 species